GGGGAAUUUUCCGCAAUGGGCGAAAGCCUGACGGAGCAAUACCGCGUGAGGGAGGAAGGCUCUUGGGUUGUAAACCUCUUUUCUCAAGGAAGAAAAAAAUGACGGUACUUGAGGAAUCAGCAUCGGCUAACUCCGUGCCAGCAGCCGCGGUAAUACGGAGGAUGCAAGCGUUAUCCGGAAUGAUUGGGCGUAAAGCGUCCGCAGGUGGCGGUGUAAGUCUGCUGUUAAAGAGCGAGGCUCAACCUCAUAAAAGCAGUGGAAACUACACAGCUAGAGUGCGGUAGGGGCAGAGGGAAUUCCUGGUGUAGCGGUGAAAUGCGUAGAGAUCAGGAAGAACACCGGUGGCGAAAGCGCUCUGCUAGGCCGCAACUGACACUGAGGGACGAAAGCUAGGGGAGCGAAUGGGAUUAGAUACCCCAGUAGUCCUAGCCGUAAACGAUGGAUACUAGGCGUGGCUUGUAUCGACCCGAGCCGUGCCGUAGCUAACGCGUUAAGUAUCCCGCCUGGGGAGUACGCACGCAAGUGUGAAACUCAAAGGAAUUGACGGGGGCCCGCACAAGCGGUGGAGUAUGUGGUUUAAUUCGAUGCAACGCGAAGAACCUUACCAAGACUUGACAUGUCGCGAAUUUCUGUGAAAGCAGGGAGUGCCUUCGGGAGCGCGAACACAGGUGGUGCAUGGCUGUCGUCAGCUCGUGUCGUGAGAUGUUGGGUUAAGUCCCGCAACGAGCGCAACCCUCGUUUUUAGUUGCCAGCAUUAAGUUGGGCACUCUAGAGAGACUGCCGGUGACAAACCGGAGGAAGGUGGGGAUGACGUCAAGUCAGCAUGCCCCUUACGUCUUGGGCUACACACGUACUACAAUGCUACGGACAGAGGGCAGCAAGCUAGCGAUAGCAAGCAAAUCCCGUAAACCGUAGCUCAGUUCAGAUCGCAGGCUGCAACUCGCCUGCGUGAAGUCGGAAUCGCUAGUAAUUGCAGGUCAGCAUACUGCAGUGAAUUCGUUCCCGGGCCUUGUACACACCGCCCGUCACACUAUGGAAGCUGGCAACGCCCGAAGUCAUUACUCCAACCAUUCGUGGGGGAGGAUGCCUAAGGCAGUGCUGGUGACUGGGGUGAAGUCGUAACAAGGUAGCCGUACCGGAAGGUGUGGCUGGAUCACCUCCUUUUUAGGGAGACCUACCCAACUUUAAAAUCUAUAGCAAACAGCAAAUAGAUAUAAAGAUGGUCUACUCUAGGUCGGUCGCAAUUAUUUGUGGUGUGCUUUCAAACCAUAUUUGGUUCGAUUUGGGCUAUUAGCUCAGGUGGUUAGAGCGCACCCCUGAUAAGGGUGAGGUCCCUGGUUCGAGUCCAGGAUGGCCCACCUGAAAACAGUGAACAGUGAACAGUAAACAGUGGUUAGUGAAGAAGCUGAUAACUGGUAACUGAGAACUGAGAACUGAACGAUGGGGGUUUAGCUCAGUUGGUAGAGCGCCUGCUUUGCAAGCAGGAUGUCAGCGGUUCGAGUCCGCUAACCUCCACCUGUAGCAUCAGCGAAUAUAAACAUAGGAUAAGUUCAGCAACGUGACAUAGUAAUGUCGGACUGCUGGGUGAAAUUCCAGCCAGAACCUUGAAAACUGCAUAGUAACGCGAAAAAAGCAGGCAGACACAGACAUUGAAAAAGUGAUAGUGUUUGCAAGUUUGAAACCAAUUGUUGAAAGUGGUCAAGCUAAUAAGGGCUGACGGUGGAUACCUAGGCACACAGAG
rnacentral:misc_RNA from 1 species